CAGUAUUACAGUUCUUUUAGAAUUUGUCUAGCAGGUUUUCCAGUUUUCAUUGGAAACUCUAC
rnacentral:snRNA from 1 species